rnacentral:tRNA from 1 species
GAAGAAUUAGUUAAUUCAUAACACUAGAUUGUCAAGCUAAAAUUAUCAUUAUUGAUAUUCUUCU